rnacentral:lncRNA from 1 species
AAAAUCAGAGCAAUUAUCCAGGCAAAUAAGGGGAUAUCAACACCGAAUAUUGAAUGAAGAUAACCACCAAAGAGGGGAUUACACCUACCGGAUACUGGGUAGGAAACCACGGAAAAGUAACCGUCAUCGAUUAUGAUGAACCAAAGGUUAACUCUGCAAGGGAAAGAGAAUAGGGUUCGCAACUACCGGUAUAAGGUAGAAA